CUCCAAUAGCGUAUAUUAAAGUUGUUGCCGUUAAAAAGCUCGUAGUUGGAUUUCUGUUGAGGUCGGCCGGUCCUACUUCGUAGGCGUAUCUGGUUCAGCUUGGCAUCCUCCUAGGGAACGGUACUGCUCUUAACUGAGUGGUCCGGUAUCUUAGGACUUUUACUUUGAGGAAUUAGAGUGUUUACGGCAGGCAAUCGCCU
rnacentral:rRNA from 1 species